CAGUAGCCGCGGGAAUACAGAGGGUGCGAGCGUUAAUCGGAUUUACUGGGCGUAAAGCGUGCGUAGGCGGCUUCUUAAGUCGGAUGUGAAAUCCCUGAGCUUAACUUAGGAAUUGCAUUCGAUACUGGGAAGCUAGAGUAUGGGAGAGGAUGGUAGAAUUCCAGGUGUAGCGGUGAAAUGCGUAGAGAUCUGGAUGAAUACCGAUGGCGAAGGCAGCCAUCUGGCCUAAUACUGACGCUGAGGUACGAAAGCAUGGGGAGCAAACAGGAUUAGAUACCCCCGUAGUCCCUGUCUCUUAUAA
rnacentral:rRNA from 1 species